UUCGGCGGUGAUAGCGGCGGGGGUACACCUCUUCCCAUUCCGAACAGAGCAGUUAAGCCCGCCAGCGCCGAUGGUACUCGGAGGGCAACCUCCCGGGAGAGUAGGUCGCCGCCGAAU
rnacentral:rRNA from 1 species